CCUACGGGAGGCAGCAGUGGGGAAUAUUGCGCAAUGGGCGAAAGCCUGACGCAGCGACGCCGCGUGAGGGAUGAAGGUCUUCGGAUCGUAAACCUCUGUCAGCAGGGAAGAACGGUCACUGUGCUAAUCAGCAGUGCAUUGACGGUACCUGCAAAGGAAGCACCGGCUAACUCCGUGCCAGCAGCCGCGGUAAUACGGCGGGUGCGAGCGUUAAUCGGAAUUACUGGGCGUAAAGGGCUCGUAGGAGGUAUGUCAAGUCAAGGGUGAAAUCCCCGCGCUCAACGUGGGAACUGCCUUUGAAACGGGCAAACUGGAGUGUGUGAGAGGAUAGUGGAAUUCCAGGUGUAGGAGUGAAAUCCGUAGAUAUCUGGAGGAACAUCAGUGGCGAAGGCGACUAUCUGGCACAUAACUGACGCUGAGGAGCGAAAGCGUGGGUAGCAAACAGGAUUAGAUACCCGUGUAGUC
rnacentral:rRNA from 1 species